rnacentral:tRNA from 1 species
CUUGGGGGUGCGGGCGUCGGAGUCGGGCUGGAGGUCGGUUCCGGUGGUGUUUCGGUCGAAGUAUCACCGCCGGUUCCGAAUCCGGCAUCCGGGG